CUGGGAUAGUAGAAGUGGAACAUUGCCUUGAGAGGAGGAGCUUAUGAAGGGGGCGAGGACUGAGAAAUAAAAGGAUGACUGCAGGAAUGCACGUGACACUGACACUGGAACAGAGGGAAGGAGCCCCCUGGUGUAAGCUUUGGAGAUGGAAUUCAUGAAGUUGAUGGAAUCUGGAAUCCCCUGGGUGACACACCUCUCUGUGUGUGUCCUUGGGCAAUCUCAAGAGAGUGUUAACUGAAGAAAGAAGACCUGCAUGAAUGGAGGAGCCAUCAUCUCAUGUGAUGGAGGAUCUGAAGCUGAAUGAGAAGAACAGAGGAGAAAGCAAGCUGAAGGCAAAAUUCUUUUUCUUCUGCUUCCUGACUGUACAUACUAUGUAUCCAGUGGCUGUACCUUUCUGUCCUCAUAAUAUCCCAGUGUGAUUGACUAAACUGGUAAAAAUGAGCUCAAAUCAAUUCUUCUCUUCUGAAGUUGAUUUUGUCAUGUAAAUUAAUAGAACCAUUGAACUAUAAUUCUAACUCUUUUUGCCUUUGUAGUUUUAGACAGAGUAAGCCUGGA
rnacentral:lncRNA from 1 species